AACGAACGCUGGCGGCAUGCCUAACACAUGCAAGUCGAACGAAGGCUUCGGCCUUAGUGGCGCACGGGUGAGUAACGCGUGGGAAACUGCCUAUUGGUGGGGAAUAACGACGGGAAACUGUCGCUAAUACCGCAUAAGCCCUUCGGGGGAAAGAUUUAUCGCCGAUUGAUGUGCCCGCGUCCGAUUAGCUAGUUGGUGAGGUAAUGGCUCACCAAGGCGACGAUCGGUAGCUGGUCUGAGAGGAUGAUCAGCCACACUGGGACUGAGACACGGCCCAGACUCCUACGGGAGGCAGCAGUGGGGAAUAUUGGACAAUGGGCGAAAGCGUGAUCCAGCAAUGCCGCGUGAGUGAUGAAGGCCUUAGGGUUGUAAAGCUCUUUCGGGUGGGACGAUGAUGACGGUACCACCAGAAGAAGCCCCGGCUAACUUCGUGCCAGCCGCCGCGGUAA
rnacentral:rRNA from 1 species